rnacentral:tRNA from 1 species
GGUUAAAUGGCUGAAAUUUAGGCGAUAGAUUGUAAAUCUAUUUAUGAGGACUUCCUCUUUAACCA